GACCGAGGCGCCGCCAUGGAGCCGCCCGCCGCGGCCUGGGGCCUCCUUGUAUCCGCCGGGACUCUGCCCGGAGCCGGGGGGAGCCGGGGGGGGCUGGGCGGGUGGCGGGGAGGCGGGCAGUCGGCGGCGGUUUCCUUAGCUGCGGUGCAGAGCGUUGCCGGCACGGAGGUGCGGGCUGGGCGGCGGGAGCCGUGCGUGCUCAGCCUGGGCCGGCGGAGCGGCCGCUACGGGGUAGUUAUCCAUUCACAGGAGAAAGAAAACUCUGUUUCGGAUUAUAUUCCCAUCAACAGCCGCUUUAAAUGCAUACAAGAGGCGGAAGAAACUCUGCUGAUUGAUAUAGCUACAAACACAGGCUGUAAGGUCCGGAUACAAGGUGAUGAGACAGCAGAGCGGCUCUUUGAAAUCCCUGAUGAGGAGCAUUGCUUAGGAUUCCUUUCAGAAGUGCACAGCAUACAGGAAGCCCACCUGAAAGCUUCUCUUUCUGAACCUAAGGACUCAACCAGCUGGCAUCAGGUAGAGAAGAACCUCCCAGGUCUAUUGCAGGCCUCUUCUUCAGGAGCUCUGGGCUUUGACGAUGACUUCAACACCUUAAGCCUAGAAGAGAAGAGAAACAUGCAAAACCACCAAACGGGAUCUCGCCGGGAACCCCCACCUCCUCCUGUGCCUCCAAGUAGGCAAUUUCACCGAGAGAGAGAAGGUACAUCAAAAGACCAGCCAAAAGUGACCAACACUAUGCGCAAAAUGUUUUUGCCCAGCACCCAGUCGGGACAAAGAGAAGGCCUCAUCAAACACGUGCUUGCCAAGAGAGAGAAGGCAUACGUCAACCUUCACAACUUCAGAUUUUUUGUGGGAACGUGGAAUGUGAAUGGGCAGUCUCCAGACAGCAGCUUGGAACCCUGGCUGGUGUGUGACACAGAGCCUCCAGACUUCUAUUGCAUUGGGUUCCAGGAGCUGGACCUCAGCACGGAGGCUUUUUUUUACUUUGAUUCUGCAAAGGAGCAAGAAUGGCUGGCGGCCGUGGAGAAGUCCCUGCACCCUCAGGCUAAGUAUAAGAAAGUGCAAAUGGUCCGUCUAGUUGGGAUGAUGUUGCUCAUAUUUGCUAAGAAGGAUCAGCUAGGCAAUAUUAGAGAUAUCAUGACGGAGUCUGUGGGCACAGGAAUCAUGGGAAAGAUGGGCAACAAGGGUGGUGUGGCAGUGAGGUUCGUGUUCCACAACACAACCUUCUGCAUUGUCAAUUCCCACCUCGCUGCUCAUGUGGAGGACUUUGAGCGGCGAAAUCAGGAUUAUAAGGAUAUCUGUGCUCGGAUGGGUUUUGUAACCCCUGAUGAUAGUCUACCUCAGCUCAACAUCAUGAAACAUGAUGUUGUCAUCUGGCUAGGAGACCUGAACUACAGGCUUUGUCUCCUUGAUGCCAGUGAAGUGAAAAGUCUUAUCAGUAAGAAUGAGCUUCAGAAAUUGCUGACAUACGACCAGCUGAAUAUUCAGCGCACUCAGAAGAAAGCAUUUGCAGAUUUCACCGAGGGAGAGAUUAAAUUCAUCCCCACUUAUAAAUAUGACUCUAAAACAGAUCGCUGGGACUCCAGUGGAAAGUGUCGUGUGCCAGCAUGGUGUGAUCGAAUCCUUUGGAGAGGAGGGAACAUAAAUCAGCUCCGGUAUUGCAGUCAUAUGGACCUGAAGACUAGUGACCACAAGCCAGUCAGCGCACUUUUCCGCAUCGGGGUAAAGGUUGUGGAUGAGCAGAGGUAUCGAAAGUUGUUUGAAGACAUCGUUCGUAUAAUGGACAGAAUGGAGAAUGACUUUCUUCCUUCGCUGGAGCUAAGCAGGAGAGAAUUUGAGUUUGAGAAUGUGAAGUUCCGUCAGCUGCAGAAGCAGAAGUUCCAGAUUACCAAUAAUGGGCAGGUCACCUGUCACUUCUCCUUCAUCCCAAAGCUCAACGAUAGCCACUACUGUAAGCCAUGGCUUCGGGCCGAGCCUUGUGAAGGUUACUUGGAGCCAGAUGAGAGCACAGACAUCUCCCUGGAUGUGUAUGUCAGUAAGGACUCAGUAACCCUUCUGAACUCUGGUGAGGAUAAAAUCGAGGAUAUUCUUGUGCUUCACUUGGACCGAGGGAAGGACUAUUUCCUUACCAUCAGUGGGACCUACCUGCCCAGCUGCUUUGGCACCUCUCUGGAGGCCUUAUGCCGAAUGAGGCGACCGAUCCGAGAAGUUCCAGUCACGAAACUCAUUGACCUGGGAGAAGACAGCUUCUUAGAAAAGGAGAAAUCCAUUCUACAGAUGGGCUCCCUGGACAGCGAGGACACAAGUGAGAUGCCACUGCAGAUCCCGAAGGAGAUCUGGCUCUUGGUGGACCACUUGUUCAAGCAUGCCUGCCACCAGGAGGACCUGUUCCAGACUCCGGGCAUGCAAGAAGAGUUGGAACAGAUUAUUGACUGCCUGGACACCAAUAUCCCUGAGACAAUCCCGGGCAGUAACCACUCCGUGGCUGAAGCACUUCUCAUCUUCCUGGAGGCUCUGCCAGAGCCAGUGAUCUGCUACGAGCUGUACCAGCGGUGCCUUGACUGGUCAUACAACAGCCGGCUAUGCCGACAGGUGAUUUUUCAGCUGCCUCGUUGCCAUCGUAGCGUGUUUCGGUACCUAAUGUCAUUCCUCCGAGAGCUGCUCAGAUACUCUGAAGACAACAACGUCAGCGUCGCCAUGAUCGCCGCCUUGUUCUCCAGCCUCCUCCUGCGCCCUCCACCCAAUCUGGUGGCAAAGCAGACUCAGCAGGACCGCCAGCGUGCCAUCAACUUCCUCUAUAGCUUCCUGCUUGCCGGGGAUGAGGAGUGACUCCUGCCUGUGUGCCAAAGCGGAGGCCUGUGCUGCCAGCCUUGCGCGGAGGCCAGGCCUCUGACAGCUCCAGAGGGAGCCUCCUGCUUUCUCCUUGGGAGCUGGGUGGAUCUGUUGAUACCCAAGCACUGUGCCAGCAGCUUGAUGUUCCCAUGGCAGUGUCACCAGUUCCCCAAGUCAUGCUUCUUUGCACCCCCAUCUGCCUGGAGUCACUGUGGGGAAGGGUGGAGACUGUCAGUGCUCUUGAAGGCCAUGGCAUGGCUGGCUGGCACUCAGCCCGUAGGCUGCGUCCCUGCAGGUGCAAAGUAUGCGUGCUGGUGUGUGCUGACUGUACUGGUGAGAGCCCCGUGCUCUGCCCUGGGCUGGCGUUGGGCACCUUCAGCCAUGCAGCAGACCUGGCCAACCCCUCACUGUGCUACGAAAGCGGGACCGUGGCUGACCCAGGAAAGUUACCUGGACGUUUGGCCUCUUCCCUUCAGCAGGGUAUUGCCCUCUCCCCUCCCUCACGGGGUGCAGUGUCUGGCACGCAGCUCUCUCCCAGCACUCCCAGCCUUCUGCCACUGCCACCUUGGCCUUGCUCUCCUCUCUCUCCCUUCCCCUGUGCCCCAGCUUCCUUCUGGGACACAGGAUCUUGGGUGGCUUGGAGGGGCCUGGGUCAGGCAGUGAGCUUCUCCAGGGCUGUCCCUGGGCAAGGCAUGGAGCAGGACACAGCCCCUGUCCCUCCCAGCCCUGCUUGCAGAGCCACAGGGGUAGGACUCGGGUUGGGGAACCGGGGUGGUGGUGGAUACUGUCCUCCCCCUUGUCCAAAGAGUACAGGCUGGAGGCAGAAGGGGAGGGGGGAAAGGAGCCAGAAAUCCACCUCGAGGUCCAGAGGAGCAGCUGGGGGCUAUGCGUGGGUGCUGUAGUGCCAGGGUCACAGACAGCUGGGAAGGGGACACCCUGGGGCCUGGCAACUUGUGGGUGCAAGAGGGAGGCCUGUCCCAGUGAAACACUAAGCAGAGUCCUGCCUGCUUGGGCCAGGGACUGCGUGGCCUCGGCUGAGGGAGGCUGCUGCCGGAGGGGAGGGCCGCAGAUCCCAGAGCCCCCGCCAGUGCCGUUGCUCAGCCCACAGCUGUCCGUCUGGCUGUGUGGUCCCCGUGCACUGGCUGAGCUGCUGGGGGCACCCCUACCUUGUGGCUCUUUUUCUUGUCUUUAAAAUUUUUAAAUUACAUAAUUUAUUGGGAAA